CGGAUUGUUGAUCCGUAUGUGCAU
rnacentral:miRNA from 1 species